rnacentral:rRNA from 1 species
CAUGCAAGUCGAGCGGUAAGGCCUUUCGGGGUACACGAGCGGCGAACGGGUGAGUAACACGUGGGUGAUCUGCCCUGCACUUCGGGAUAAGCCUGGGAAACUGGGUCUAAUACCGGAUAUGACUUCAGGUUGCAUGACUUGGGGUGGAAAGAUUUAUCGGUGCAGGAUGGGCCCGCGGCCUAUCAGCUUGUUGGUGGGGUAAUGGCCUACCAAGGCGACGACGGGUAGCCGACCUGAGAGGGUGACCGGCCACACUGGGACUGAGACACGGCCCAGACUCCUACGGGAGGCAGCAGUGGGGAAUAUUGCACAAUGGGCGAAAGCCUGAUGCAGCGACGCCGCGUGAGGGAUGACGGCCUUCGGGUUGUAAACCUCUUUCAGCAGGGACGAAGCGCAAGUGACGGUACCUGCAGAAGAAGCACCGGCUAACUACGUGCCAGCAGCCGCGGUAAUACGUAGGGUGCAAGCGUUGUCCGGAAUUACUGGGCGUAAAGAGUUCGUAGGCGGUUUGUCGCGUCGUUUGUGAAAACCAGCAGCUCAACUGCUGGCUUGCAGGCGAUACGGGCAGACUUGAGUACUGCAGGGGAGACUGGAAUUCCUGGUGUAGCGGUGAAAUGCGCAGAUAUCAGGAGGAACACCGGUGGCGAAGGCGGGUCUCUGGGCAGUAACUGACGCUGAGGAACGAAAGCGUGGGUAGCGAACAGGAUUAGAUACCCUGGUAGUCCACGCCGUAAACGGUGGGCGCUAGGUGUGGGUUCCUUCCACGGAAUCCGUGCCGUAGCUAACGCAUUAAGCGCCCCGCCUGGGGAGUACGGCCGCAAGGCUAAAACUCAAA